GAUGAACGCUGGCGGCGUGCCUAAUACAUGCAAGUCGAGCGAACAGACGAGGAGCUUGCUCCUCUGACGUUAGCGGCGGACGGGUGAGUAACACGUGGAUAACCUACCUAUAAGACUGGGAUAACUUCGGGAAACCGGAGCUAAUACCGGAUAAUAUAUUGAACCGCAUGGUUCAAUAGUGAAAGACGGUUUUGCUGUCACUUAUAGAUGGAUCCGCGCCGCAUUAGCUAGUUGGUAAGGUAACGGCUUACCAAGGCGACGAUGCGUAGCCGACCUGAGAGGGUGAUCGGCCCCCCUGGAACUUAGACACGGUCCAGACUCCUACGGGGGGCAGCAGUAGGGAAUCUUCCGCAAUGGGCGAAAGCCUUACGGGGCAACGCCGCGUGAGUGAUGAAGGUCUUCGGAUCGUAAAACUCUGUUAUUAGGGAAGAACAAAUGUGUAAGUAACUAUGCACGUCUUGACGGUACCUAAUCAGAAAGCCACGGCUAACUACGUG
rnacentral:rRNA from 1 species